rnacentral:sRNA from 1 species
AACAUUUCAAGGGACACAAUUCACUCCAAGUCUCUUCCCUUUCCAAGCCGCUUCCGAAGUGCUCCCGGUGCCCGCAACUCCUGAUCCCAACCCGCGAGAGGAGCCUCUGCGACCUCAAAGCCUCUCUUCCUUCUCCCUCGCUUCCCUCCUCCUCUCGCUACCUCCACCUCCACCGCCACCUCCACCUCCGGCACCCACCCACCGCCGCCGCCGCCGCCGCCACCGGCAGCGCCUCCUCCCCUCCUCCUCCUCCUCCCCUCUUCUCUUUUUGGCAGCCGCUGGACGUCCGGUGUUGAUGGUGGCAGCGGCGGCAGCCUAAGCAACAGCAGCCCUUGCAGCCCGCCAGCUCGCGCUCGCCCCGCCGGCGUCCCCAGCCCUAUCACCUCAUCUCCCGAAAGGUGCUGGGCAGCUCCGGGGCGGUCGAGGCGAAGCGGCUGCAGCGGCGGUAGCGGCGGCGGGAGGCAGGAUGAGCGCACGCGGUGAGGGCGCGGGGCAGCCGUCCACUUCAGCCCAGGGACAACCUGCCGCCCCAGCGCCUCAGAAGAGAGGACGCGGCCGCCCCAGGAAGCAGCAGCAAGAACCAACCGGUGAGCCCUCUCCUAAGAGACCCAGGGGAAGACCUAAAGGCAGCAAAAACAAGAGUCCCUCUAAAGCAGCUCAAAAGGUGAGAUUUCUCAAGUCAAGCUCUCCUAACUUCAUCAAUGACUGACUACAGGAGCCUGCCUGUAACUUUCCCAUUCUAACUCCGCAGCUAGGAAUUUGUUCCAACUGGGUAACGCAAGACUCAUUUCUUACAUUUAACAUUAGUUAGAUAUGAGUUAACCUUUUUUCUAAGCAGAUGCUCAGCAUAAAAAGUUUAUGAAGAUACUUAACAGUGUUGUUUUUAAACAAACAGCCACCAAAUAAUUUGAACCUUAAAACGGGUAGAAGUGAGGAAGGAAGGAGUGGUGGGGGGGCGGGAUGGAAAAUGACACAAUUAAUAUUUGCACCAGUUGUAAAUAGUUAAAAACAAAUCAAAACUAUAGAUUUUGCCUGGUGGUAAAGUUUUUGCAAUUUCCUCUGAAAAAUGAUAGAGAUUGAUUUACUUUGUGCUUAUUACAUGGCUACUGCAAACCAAAUCCCCCUAUUAAAGUACUUUGCCAAAUAGAUGAUAAUUAGAAGUAAAUCUAGUUGUAGCAUAGUGGAAAAAUUUCAUGAAUUUUACAGCUUUAAUUUUGAUAAUAAAGUAUACUGUUUGUUUUACAAUAAACCUGCAGUAUAGUAUAUCAUAAUCUCAAAAUGCCUUUUCAUCAAGUGACGUAGAAAUGUCUGAAUUGGACAAUGAGACUUUUUAAAACAAAUAUCUCUUUUUGGGCAGAAUAGAACCCAGUUAAGUGUAAUAUUCAGUGUUUUUCUUAAUAAAUUUAAACUUGCAGUUUAAGAUAACUUCAGGUUGGCUGUGUUUAAGCUAGCAAAGAGGAACUAUGUCAGGGUUAAUGCAUGUAUAGAGAAGUACCAGUCACUUUUUUGACUUUAUAAAUAAAUUGGAAAAAAAAGUUUCUGCGUCUUAUUUGUAGGUUUGUGUAGUAAUUGAG